rnacentral:rRNA from 1 species
AAUCAACGCUGGCGGCGUGCCUCAGACAUGCAAGUCGAACGAUUAAAGCUCUCUUCGGAGAGUGCAUAAAGUGGCGCACGGGUGAGUAACACGUAAGUAAUCUACCUUCGAGUGGGGAAUAACGUCCGGAAACGGACGCUAAUACCGCAUAAUGCAGCGGAACCUAAUGGUGACAGUUGUUAAAGGAGCAAUCCGCUUGAAGAGGAGCUUGCGGCAGAUUAGCUAGUUGGUAAGGUAAUGGCUUACCAAGGCUUCGAUCUGUAACCGGUCUAAGAGGACGGGCGGUCACACUGACACUGAAUAACGGGUCAGACUCCUACGGGAGGCAGCAGUCGGGAAUUUUGGGCAAUGGGCGAAAGCCUGACCCAGCAACGCCGCGUGAAGGAUGAAGUAUUUCGGUAUGUAAACUUCGAAAGAAUGGGAAGAAUCAAUGACGGUACCAUUUAUAAGGUCCGGCUAACUACGUGCCAGCCGCCGCGGUAAGAC